rnacentral:rRNA from 1 species
ACUUAAAUUGAAGAGUUUGAUCAUGGCUCAGAUUGAACGCUGGCGGCAGGCCUAACACAUGCAAGUCGAGCGGUAGCACAGAGAGCUUGCUCUCGGGUGACGAGCGGCGGACGGGUGAGUAAUGUCUGGGAAACUGCCUGAUGGAGGGGGAUAACUACUGGAAACGGUAGCUAAUACCGCAUAACGUCGCAAGACCAAAAGUGGGGGACCUUCGGGCCUCAUGCCAUCAGAUGUGCCCAGAUGGGAUUAGCUAGUAGGUGGGGUAACGGCUCACCUAGGCGACGAUCCCUAGCUGGUCUGAGAGGAUGACC